rnacentral:rRNA from 1 species
GGACUACUGGGGUAUCUAAUCCUGUUUGCUACCCACGCUUUCGUGUCUCAGCGUCAGUUACGGUCCAGAAAGCCGUCUACACCACCGGUGUUCCUCCUGAUAUCUACGCAUUUCACCGCUACACCAGGAAUUCCACUUUCCUCUCCCGCACUCCAAGUCCCUCAGUAUUCGGCGCACCCUCCCGGUUGAGCCGGGAGAUUUCACACCAAACUUAAAGAACCGCCUACACACCCUUUACGCCCAGUAACUCCGAACAACGCUCGCUGCCUACGUAUUACCGCGGCUGCUGGCAC